GAGCUGGUCGGGGGACCCGAUAAGGUUUAAAAAGGCCGCAUUCCGUUCAUGCUUCGGCGGAGCGUGUUUGUACUGCACAGACCCUAUUGACUAUAACCGUGAGGUGCAGUGCAUCCUUGAGCAUGGAGGGAACCAUGGCUGCCACAAAGGCCUGUUGCUCUCCAUCAGGAGGGGCGUGGAGGCUGCCAUCAGUGAGGCGGGAGUGCGGCGGAAUGAAGGGGCUCGUGGCUUGCAGCAACCGCCCAUUGGCGCCGAUGACAAUUAUGUUGCGGUGCCUUACCAUCUAGUGAAGUGUCCAGCUAUUAAAAAAGCUCUUCACCUAGCGAAUGGGAAGCUCGCCAUAAGACGGGGCCCUUCUGCCUUUGCGUGCCUUCGAGGCGGUGGGGAUGGGCUGGAGGAUGGAUAUAAAUCUGGAGUGUGCAGUGUCCCAAUGGGUGACGGGGCCAAUAGCUUGGAAGGGAGGUGCAUGGGGGUUGCAGGGCGAACGCUGGAGGAACGACUAAAUGAGCAUGGGGCGGACAUGCGUAAGGGAGGGGCAUCCACGGCGCUGGCGGGGGGGUGUUGCGCCUCAAACGUGGAGGUCCGCUGGGACCGAGCAGGAAUGAUUGGGAAGACGGAGGGCAUAAAGCAAGG
rnacentral:lncRNA from 1 species